GAUGAACGCUGGCGGCGUGCCUAAUACAUGCAAGUCGAGCGAACAGACGAGGAGCUUGCUCCUCUGACGUUAGCGGCGGACGGGUGAGUAACACGUGGAUAACCUACCUAUAAGACUGGGAUAACUUCGGGAAACCGGAGCUAAUACCGGAUAAUAUAUUGAACCGCAUGGUUCAAUAGUGAAGGACGGUUUUGCUGUCACUUAUAGAUGGAUCCGCGCCGCAUUAGCUAGUUGGUAAGGUAACGGCUUACCAAGGCGACGAUGCGUAGCCGACCUGAGGGGGUGAUCGGCCACACUGGAACUGAGACACGGUCCAGACUCCUACGGGAGGCAGCAGUAGGGAAUCUUCCGCAAUGGGCGAAAGCCUGACGGAGCAACGCCGCGUGAGUGAUGAAGGUCUUCGGAUCGUAAAACUCUGUUAUUAGGGAAGAACAAAUGUGUAAGUAACUAUGCACGUCUUGACGGUACCUAAUCAGAAAGCCACGGCUAACUACGUG
rnacentral:rRNA from 1 species